rnacentral:rRNA from 1 species
UACGUAGGUGGCAAGCGUUACUCGGAAUCACUAGGCGUAAAGCGCAGGUAGGCGGUUAGAUAAGUUUCUUGUGAAAGCUCCUGGCUUAACUGGGAGAGGUCAAGGAAUACUGUUUGACUUGAGUGUGGUAGGGGUAACUGGAAUUCCCGGUGUAGCGGUGAAAUGCGUAGAUAUCGGGAGGAAUACCUAUGGCGAAGGCAGGUUACUGGGCCAUCACUGACGCUGGAGCUGCGAAAGCUAGGGGAGCAAACAGG